ACUCUGCUAGUCUUUCGCCGUCUUCUGCGUCCACUUGGGUCCUCUCCUCUCUCUCUCUCUCUCGAAAACUUGAGUUCUCUUUCUUCGAGCUCAGUUAGGAGCUGUAAAAGAUCACACUUUUGGUAACUUCUAUUAUGAUUUACAACUAAGUUUCACAUUAAAUGCAUUUGGAUUAGCGUUCUUCUGCUGCUUCGAGGAGCUCAGUUUUUUCUCAGAUUUAUCCUUCCUUCUUAAUUGAUUUGCGAUUGAGUUUAUUCCUUGAUUACUGGGUGGCAAGGAUUUUGAGCUGUUAAUUCAAGUUUCAACUCAACAAUUAAUCGUGUUCGUCCAGUACUGUUCAUCAGUUUAAAGAAAAAAAAAAAUCCGAGCUGGGUUUUCUGGGAUUUAAUUUCAAUCAUUGGAGAAGCGGAAAAUAUCCAAUUUUUGCAAUUUUUUAAACUUAAAGCUUAAUUUGGAAGGUAUUUUUUUGGGAUCUUUGGGCGCCAUUAAGAAAUAGGUUUGACUGGUACUUUAUAUUUAAUUAUAGCUUUUAUAUUUAUACAUAAACCUAUCUGAUUACUGAUAAGGAUUGCUACUUUAAAAGAAAGAUUAUAUUCUGUUGAUUAUGUAACUGUAAAAGAAAUACUCUCUCCUUUUCCUUUUAUUUCCUUUGUCAGUUAUAAUAACUGGGAUUGUCUUAUUGUGGGGUUUUUGUCAAACUUUGUGUCUUGAAAACUUGUUGGCUCCCUAUAUGUUUUUGGGUUCUUUGAACUUGUGCUAGAGUUAAAAGCCUAGCGUUUGGAAGAUACUGAUAAUGGCGAAGUGAUUGAAUUUUGGGCAUUUCUUUUGUAAGAAAAGCGGUGCCAACCCUUCGUCAUGCCUUUAUCUGAGCUAGUAUAUCGAUUGGCUAAAGGAAAGCUUGAUUCUUCUCAGGAGAAGAAUCCCACUUGCUCAACUGAUCUAUCUUCUGGACCUGAGAAUGAUUUUGUUGAGCUAGUAUGGGAAAAUGGUCAAAUUCAGUCCAACAGAACUAGAAAGAUCCAAUUCUCAAGUGGUUUUCCAUCUCAAACCUCCAGGAUACAGGACAAAGACAUAGAUAAUGGCAGCAACACUAAAGUUGGAAGGUUUGGGGUCAUGGACUCUGUCAUAGGUGAAGUUCCAAUGUCUGUGCCGUCUGUUGUAAUGGGUUUGAAUCAAGAUGAUGACAUGGUACCUUGGUUCAAUUAUCGGAUUGAAGACACUCUGGAACAUGAUCCUGAGCUUUUUAAUGAAUUAUCUGGUGUUACUGCAAAUGAACAGCCCCAUAAUCAUUAUACAUCAAUGGAAAAGAGAAGUUGUGGUAAUCAAUCAGUUAGAGACUCUCGUAGUGCUCCUGGACAUAAUGGUUUGAGUUCAGAGCAAGGGCACAUAACAAAGGUUUCAUCAGUUGGGGAUGUUGAUGCUAAUAGACCUAGAAAUGGUUCCAGUCAGUUAUAUCCAUCACCAUCACAGCAAUGCCAAACAUCAUUUCCAUGUUUUAGAUCCAGAGGUUCAGCUAAUAGUGGUGAGAGUACAAACAAUCUGUCCCGCCAUGCUACUUCCAGGGAUUCAAUGCGAGUUCCGCCUUCAGGAGGUGGUUUACCUAGCAUAAAAGUGCAAAACCAAGUUCCAGUCUCAUCUACUACUAACUCCAGUUUGAUGAAUUUCUCACAUUUCUCGAGACCUGCUGCAUUUGUUAAAGCUAAUCUUCACAACAACGGUACAAGAGCUGGUUCAGGAAUAUCAAGCAUUGAAAGAAAGGUUAGAAAGGAUAAGGGCUCAAUUGCAAAUAGUAGCAAUCCUGGUGAAUGCAUACUCAUUGAUACAUUUAGUGGUUCAGGAAAGGAAACGAGCUUCAAUUAUAACCCAGUGUUGGUGUCAUCCAAUGUUGAUGCUAAACAAUUGGACCCUAAGUCUGGUGAGGAAUCCCUUCCUUCAAAGCAACCUGAGGCUUUGGACCGAGUAGAUUCUAAGAAUGAUAAACACCAUUGCCUAAUUGCUGAAAGUGCAACUCGAGGAUUUGUAGAUGGUGAAAAGACAGCAGAGCCAUUAGUUGUUUCUUCUUCUGUUUGCUCAGGGAAUAGUGUGGAGAGAGUUUCAGAUGAACCAACACAGAAUUUGAAGAGAAAACACCAGGAAACAGAGGAGUCUGAAGUUCCAAGUGAGGAUGUUGAAGAGGAAUCAGUAGCUGCAAAAAAAACCACUCCUUCUCGAGGAGGUGGUGGCUCCAAGAGAAGCCGAGCAGCAGAAGUACAUAAUUUGUCUGAAAGGAGGCGACGGGAUAGGAUCAAUGAGAAGAUGCGUGCCUUGCAAGAACUCAUACCAAACUGCAACAAGGUGGACAAAGCAUCAAUGCUUGAUGAGGCGAUUGAGUAUUUAAAGACACUGCAGCUUCAAGUGCAGAUUAUGUCAAUGGGAGCUGGUCUGUAUAUGCCAUCAAUGAUGUUGCCCCCAGGAAUGCCUCACAUGCAGGCUGCUCAUAUGGCUCAAUUCUCACCCGUGGGUAUUGGAAUGGGAAUGGGAAUGGGAAUGGGUUUUGGCAUGGGUAUGCCUGAUAUGAUUGGUGGAUCUUCUGGUUGCUCUAUGAUUCCAGUGCCUCCUAUGCAUGGAGCAUGUUUUCGUGGCCCAUCAAUAUCUGGACCCAGUGCUUUGCAUGGAAUGGGAGCAUCUAACCUUCCAAUAUUUGCGCUUUCUGCUCAAGGACAUCCUAUGUCAUAUCCAUGUGCACCCUUACUGCCAAUUUCUGGAGGACCUCUUCUAAAAACUAGCAUUGGACUGAAUGUUGGUGGGGUGGCAGGUCCCUUGGAUAAUCUGGAUUCAGCCCCAGGCUGUUUCUCAAAGGAUUCAAUUCAAAACAUCAGCUCGCAAGCAAUUAAAAACUGUGGUGCCAAUAGCUCGAUGAAUCAGACAUCUGGUCAGUGCCAAAUGACAAAUGAGAAUUUUGAACAGCCUUCUUUACUGCAACAUAGUGGUCAAUCCUCAGAAGUUGCUGAUAGGGGAGCUCUGAAUUCGGCCAAUGGGAAUGACAAUGCACCGAGUGGAGCUACUGCAGGUUGUGACUGACAGUCUCUUCCAAUCCUUGUCAUUGAGGUGGUCAACCAUCAUGCUUCUAAUAAUGAUCAAGUCUUGUAUGGCGACUCUAGAACACAUAAGCGUGCAGCAAAGAGUUCUUGGCAACUGAAUGAAGUUGAAUCUUAUCAACGAUCAUUUGUGCUCCAAUUUCAGCACAGUGCAGUUACAGUUUGCAGAAAGAUUUUGGACAACCUAGGUAAGAAAAUGCAGUUUCCUCAUUGGUUCCUCGGCCACCUCAAUGCCAAAAUAGAAGGGAAAAGAAAUAAUUAUCUGAAGCGAAACAAAUUGUCUGGUAUUCUCCUUUCCUUUUAAGAUUGAGGUUACACAUUAUUUAGUAUUUUUCCAGAUUCUGAAUCAUUAUAGAUAUGUGAAGGACGUCAAAUUUGAUUGUCUUGUGAAUUGGACCUUGAUGAAACUACUGCAGAAUCAGAAAUCCCAUUCAAUGAACUAUUUACAAUGUUUAUACUUACAUCUUUUCUUUAAAAGGUUCUGAU